UACAGAGGUCUCAAGCGUUGUUCGGAUUCAUUGGGCGUAAAGGGUGCGUAGGUGGCGCGGUAAGUCGGGUGUGAAAUCUCGGAGCUUAACUCCGAAAUUGCAUUCGAUACUGCCGUGCUUGAGGACUGGAGAGGAGACUGGAAUUCAUGGUGUAGCAGUGAAAUGCGUAGAGAUCAUGAGGAAGACCAGUGGCGAAGGCGGGUCUCUGGGCCUUACCUGACGCUGAGGAGCGAAAGUGUGGGGAGCGAACAGG
rnacentral:rRNA from 1 species